rnacentral:rRNA from 1 species
GACGAACGCUGGCGGCGUGCUUAACACAUGCAAGUCGAACGGAAAGGCCCUGCUUUUGUGGGGUGCUCGAGUGGCGAACGGGUGAGUAACACGUGAGUAACCUGCCCUUGACUUUGGGAUAACUUCAGGAAACUGGGGCUAAUACCGGAUAGGAGCUCCUGCUGCAUGGUGGGGGUUGGAAAGUUUCGGCGGUUGGGGAUGGACUCGCGGCUUAUCAGCUUGUUGGUGGGGUAGUGGCUACCAAGGCUUUGACGGGUAGCCGGCCUGAGAGGGUGACCGGCCACAUUGGGACUGAGAUACGGCCCAGACUCCUACGGGAGGCAGCAGUGGGGAAUAUUGCACAAUGGGCGGAAGCCUGAUGCAGCAACGCCGCGUGCGGGAUGACGGCCUUCGGGUUGUAAACCGCUUUCGCCUGUGACGAAGCGUGAGUGACGGUAAUGGGUAAAGAAGCACCGGCUAACUACGU